rnacentral:lncRNA from 1 species
GAUUUUGUUUGAGAAGAGGCAGGAAAGUGGAGACGACUUGGAAAACCUGGAACAUCGGGAAAAUCCUUGCUGACGUAUCCUGAGCGAUUUCUGAGUGUUCAGUAUUUCAUGAUGAGAUUGUGAGUGGGCAUCCGAUUCGGAGUGUCCUGCUUAGUGACCUCGCCGGAGCCCCGAUCCACUGAAGUGUGAGUGCGUGUGCCGAGGGCCAGACGUCAGGAAGCAGAAGGCCCUGUGGAGUGAGUGGCCCUUGCUUUGAACAGGAGCAGGAUAAUCAAGCCUUUCUUAUCACAACCCAUUACAGAACUACAUUCGGAGGACCCACUUCAAAUCGAAAUGUAUGAAGUAGAAAGUAAAGACCCUGCAUAAUCUCUCCCCCCACCAAGAUAACCAGUGUUCAGAGUGUUUUCUCCUAUGGAUGAACAGUACACCUAGAGACGGAUAAAUAUCACACAAAUACAGUCCAGUGCCUGGCACCUAGAAGGGUCGGUACGUGUUUGCUGAAAGACUGUACAUACACACUGAAUAAAUACAUAGGUUGUAGUUCA